AAUUAUACCAUACAAAUAUUUUCUGUACAAGAAUAAGGAGGAUGCUACUUUUUCUGAUGAUACCAUCGCUGUUUAGCCUGAUUUUGAGACAAAUGGGUUAAUUUAAAACUCGAAUAUGACUAUUUAAUUUUAAUUUGUAUUGUAACCAUCUCGGAAGAUAAAAACUAAAUCCAAACUUCUUAAAA